UGACCGCUGGCGGCGUGCCUAAUACAUGCAAGUCGAGCGAACGGACGAGAAGCUUGCUUCUCUGAUGUUAGCGGCGGACGGGUGAGUAACACGUGGAUAACCUACCUAUAAGACUGGGAUAACUUCGGGAAACCGUAGCUAAUACCGGAUAAUAUUUUGAACCGCAUGGUUCAAAAGUGAAAGACGGUCUUGCUGUCACUUAUAGAUGGAUCCGCGCUGCAUUAGCUAGUUGGUAAGGUAACGGCUUACCAAGGCAACGAUGAAUAGCCGACCUGAGAGGGGGAAGGGCCAAAGGGGAACGGGAAAGCGGGCCAGACCCCAAGGGGAGGCAGGCGGGGGGAACUUUCCGAAAGGGGCGAAAGCCUGACGGAGAAACGCCGGGUGGGUGAUGAAGGCUUUCGGAUGGAAAAACUCUGUUAUUAGGGAAAAAAAUAUUGGAAAGAAACGGGGCACAUUUUGACGGUACCAAAGCAAAAACCCCCGGCUAACUCCGG
rnacentral:rRNA from 1 species